UUCAUUUUUUAAGUCGGUGUCCAUGACUACAUAAACAAAUGCAGAUGGUCAGAAAAGAAAUAAGUUGGAGACCAGCAAGUUGUGUGGAUCAGCACAAAUGUAGGAAACACGGCUUAUUUAUAUACCUCAGUUGGUGGUGGAUCAUCACAGACGCAGAGCAUCAUAAGAGUAUACUGAAACAAAGCUAGUGCAUCAAUAGUGAGAAAGGAAGGGAGAAAACCUUGGUGAACAGACCAAGGAAGAAGCGCAUGUGGUCAGAACUAAAAAAAUCAUAUAGCCUACUCCAACAUGGCUGAAUAGAUGGAUCCCAAGAAAAAAAAUACAAAUCUACAACAACACAGCCGGAUAUCAAGAUUCUUAGAACGAAUGCAUAAACUAAAAAGCCCAAAAAGAAUCAUAUCCCAUUCCAAAAGUACUAUAUAAACAUAUCAACACUGUCAAGACAAACGUGUAAACCAUAAGACCAAACAAACAAUCUGACCCAUGAACAAAUAAAGAACACCACUAACAUGACCCAACAUACAAAUAGCCAUCAAGCAUGCCCAAAAUAUAACUCAUUUUAACCUCCUCAAAAGAUUGCCUAAUUGAAUGGGAAAAUAAAAUAGCUAUAUCUGUCGGAUAGCAAAGUUAUGUAGACCCGACUCAGCUGGCCACGGACAAAGAGAACUUUGAAACCAAGAUUUCUUCCCUGUCAGCUCGUGCACUACUAUAACCUGUGAGUAGGAACAGGAUGACACCAGGUUGCAAUCAAGGACCACUGAAUUAUGAGAAUAAAAAAUAAGUAAAAGAAACUACAUACUGAGAAAACCCCAACAAUUCGGCAAUCCAUUCCAAGACACGAUAAAUUCACAAGCCCAAUUACAUUAUACCUCACAGCCGGAACAACAGUGGUCACAACACUUCCAUAUGCUGGCACAGAGCAUCCAACUCUCAGUCCGCAAC
rnacentral:lncRNA from 1 species